AUGUGGAUUGUUCCCUCUGAUAAAAUCCCUGGGUCACACACAUGCAUACUACGUGCUGGCUGCAACCUACUCAUUUCAUUAUCAUAUUGGACCCGUAUAAGAGUCUCAGCACCUGGUACUCAUGUCCGAAUGGCUCCUUCUCCCUGCCAGUUGCUGGCUGUGUGUACUGAAGCUGCUGUAGUUGCCUCUUCUGACAAGAUGGGAAUGUCCCUGCCAGCAGCUGAGUGCAUGCUGGUGUGUAGCUGCUGCCUACUUAUGCUUAAAUGCCAAAGAAUACUAUAUGUCAUGGCACAUUAGCAGAUAAGCAAGACAGAAAAAAAUUGGAUUUGGGAACCUAUGAUCUUACCAUGGUAAGCACCUUGUAAUUAGUAACUUUGGAAGUAGCACAGUUUUGGCCUGAGUCUUGAUGAUGGAAAUGGACAUAUAUUUUCCUUCCUCACAAAAUGAGGAUAAUUACACAUUCCUUGUACAGUGUUUGUGAAGAUAAAAUGAAAAAAGUAAGUGCUGAAAAUUUUUUGACCAUGAGCGUGGGAAUCACCUAUAAAGCAUCGGAAAUAUAGGUGAAUAAUCUUUACAUAUGUAAAAAAGAACAAAGGUAGAGAAAUGAGAAAUGCAAAUAAUUCAUAUGUAAUACAAUGAAACAGAGGUAGUCUUUUGUAGAAUAUAUUGACUAUUUCAGCAACAUAGGGACCAAUGAGUUGAUGCAGGUAGGGAAUUAAUUAGAACUUCUAGCAAAUUAGCUAUUACAGGUGAAAGUUUUGUGCAGUGUGAUGGGCAAAUACUCUUGUACCUCAAGUGUUAAAUGUAUGUCAGGCACUAGUAUAAGCAUUUCAGUGUUAAGCCUUCCAGUCCCUAUUAUGUAUGACUUCCAGUCCCUACCAUGACCCCAUUUUGUGAUCACUACCAUUUUAUGCAUUUGAUCAUUGUGGCAUAGAAAAAUUGAGUGCCUUGCUCAAGGUUAUAUACUCAGAACAUUGUUAUAUCAGGAUUUAAAACAGGUGAUAUUCUCUUAACUCUAGACUACACCUACAAUCACUUGAGUACACAUAAGUAGUCAGCAAAGAGAGGUUAAGUUUUGGGUAUAUAUAACAGUCUUCUGGGGGUCAGCACUGUGGCUCAGUGGGUUAUAGCUAUGGCCUGUAGUAGCGGCAUCCCAUAUGGGUGCUGAUUUGGGUACAGGCUGCUACACUUCUGAUCCAACUCCCUGCUAAUGUGCCCUGGAAAGCAGUGGAGGAUAGCCCAAGGGUUUGGACCCAAAAACCCAUGCAGGAGACUGAGAAGAAAGUCCUGGAUCCUAGCUUCAGCCUGGAAGAUCUCUCCCCUAUUCCCUCUUUCUCUGUCUCUGUAUGUAAUUUUGCCUUUCAAAUAAAUGAAUGAAUCUUUAAAAAUUGUAUUAAUGC
rnacentral:lncRNA from 1 species